AAUGAACGCUGGCGGCGCGCCUAAUACAUGCAAGUCGAGCGAGAAGACGUAGCAAUACGUUUGUAAAGCGGCGAACGGGUGAGGAAUACAUGGGUAACCUACCCUCGAGUGGGGAAUAACUAGCCGAAAGGUUAGCUAAUACCGCGUACGCUUCUUGGACUUCGGUUCAGGGAGGAAAGCGAUGCCGAGGGUAUCGCGCUCUCGGAUGGGCUCAUGUCCUAUCAGCUUGGGUGAGGUAACGGCUCACCAAGGCUUCGACGGGUAGCUGGUCUGAGAGGACGAUCAGCCACACUGGGCACU
rnacentral:rRNA from 1 species